UACGGGGGGAGCAAGCGUUGUUCGGAUUUACUGGGCGUAAAGGGCGCGUAGGCGGUCAGCACAAGUCAGUUGUGAAAUCUCCGGGCUUAACUCGGAACGGUCAACUGAUACUGUGCGACUAGAGUGCAGAAGGGGCAACUGGAAUUCUCGGUGUAGUGGUGAAAUGCGUAGAUAUCGAGAGGAACACCUGCGGCGAAGGCGGGUUGCUGGGCUGACACUGACGCUGAGGCGCGAAAGCCAGGGGAGCGAACGGG
rnacentral:rRNA from 1 species